rnacentral:rRNA from 1 species
AACGAACGCUGGCGGCAUGCCUAACACAUGCAAGUCGAACGGAACCGCCGUGCUUUUGUGCGCUUCUCGGGUGGCGGACGGGUGAGUAACACGUAAGUAACGUACCCUUCACUCUGGGGUAACUUAAGGAAAGUUGGUCUAAUCCCGGCUAGGAUCUCCCGCUGCAUGGUGGGGGUUGGAAAGUUUAGGCGGUUGGGGAUGGACUCGCGGCUGAUGGGCUUGUUGGUUGGGUAGUGGGAUACCAAGGCUGUGACGGGUAGCCGGCAUGCGAGGGCGACCGGCCACAUUGGGACUGAGAUACGGCCCAGACUCGAACGGGAGGCAGCAGUGGGGAAUAUUGCACAAUGGGAGGGAGCCUGAUGUAGCAACGCCGCGUGCGGUAUGACGGCCUGCGGGUAGGAAACCGCAUCUGCCUGAGACGAAGCGUGAGUGACGGUAAUGGGUAAAGAAGCACCGGCUAACUACGUG